UUAAUUUGAGAGUUUGAUCCUGGCUCAGGACGAACGCUGGUGGCGUGCCUAAUACAUGCAAGUCGAACGAACUCUGGUAUUGAUUGGUGCUUGCAUCAUGAUUUACAUUUGAGUGAGUGGCGAACUGGUGAGUAACACGUGGGAAACCUGCCCAGAAGCGGGGGAUAACACCUGGAAACAGAUGCUAAUACCGCAUAACAACUUGGACCGCAUGGUCCGAGUUUGAAAGAUGGCUUCGGCUAUCACUUUUGGAUGGUCCCGCGGCGUAUUAGCUAGAUGGUGGGGUAACGGCUCACCAUGGCAAUGAUACGUAGCCGACCUGAGAGGGUAAUCGGCCACAUUGGGACUGAGACACGGCCCAAACUCCUACGGGAGGCAGCAGUAGGGAAUCUUCCACAAUGGACGAAAGUCUGAUGGAGCAACGCCGCGUGAGUGAAGAAGGGCUUCGGCUCGUAAAACUCUGUUGUUAAAGAAGAACAUAUCUGAGAGUAACUGUUCAGGUAUUGACGGUAUUUAACCAGAAAGCCACGGCUAACUACGUGCCAGCAGCCGCGGUAAUACGUAGGUGGCAAGCGUUGUCCGGAUUUAUUGGGCGUAAAGCGAGCGCAGGCGGUUUUUUAAGUCUGAUGUGAAAGCCUUCGGCUCAACCGAAGAAGUGCAUCGGAAACUGGGAAACUUGAGUGCAGAAGAGGACAGUGGAACUCCAUGUGUAGCGGUGAAAUGCGUAGAUAUAUGGAAGAACACCAGUGGCGAAGGCGGCUGUCUGGUCUGUAACUGACGCUGAGGCUCGAAAGUAUGGGUAGCAAACAGGAUUAGAUACCCUGGUAGUCCAUACCGUAAACGAUGAAUGCUAAGUGUUGGAGGGUUUCCGCCCUUCAGUGCUGCAGCUAACGCAUUAAGCAUUCCGCCUGGGGAGUACGGCCGCAAGGCUGAAACUCAAAGGAAUUGACGGGGGCCCGCACAAGCGGUGGAGCAUGUGGUUUAAUUCGAAGCUACGCGAAGAACCUUACCAGGUCUUGACAUACUAUGCAAAUCUAAGAGAUUAGACGUUCCCUUCGGGGACAUGGAUACAGGUGGUGCAUGGUUGUCGUCAGCUCGUGUCGUGAGAUGUUGGGUUAAGUCCCGCAACGAGCGCAACCCUUAUUAUCAGUUGCCAGCAUUAAGUUGGGCACUCUGGUGAGACUGCCGGUGACAAACCGGAGGAAGGUGGGGAUGACGUCAAAUCAUCAUGCCCCUUAUGACCUGGGCUACACACGUGCUACAAUGGAUGGUACAACGAGUUGCGAACUCGCGAGAGUAAGCUAAUCUCUUAAAGCCAUUCUCAGUUCGGAUUGUAGGCUGCAACUCGCCUACAUGAAGUCGGAAUCGCUAGUAAUCGCGGAUCAGCAUGCCGCGGUGAAUACGUUCCCGGGCCUUGUACACACCGCCCGUCACACCAUGAGAGUUUGUAACACCCAAAGUCGGUGGGGUAACCUUUUAGGAACCAGCCGCCUAAGGUGGGACAGAUGAUUAGGGUGAAGUCGUAACAAGGUAGCCGUAGGAGAACCUGCGGCUGGAUCACCUCCUUUCUAAGGAA
rnacentral:rRNA from 2 species